GACAGAGGGUGCAAACGUUGUUCGGAAUUACUGGGCGUAAAGAGCUCGUAGGCGGCUUGGCAAGUCGGGUGUGAAAACUUCAGGCUCAACCUGGAGAUGCCACUCGAUACUGCUAUGGCUAGAGUCCGGUAGGGGACCACGGAAUUCCUGGUGUAGCGGUGAAAUGCGCAGAUAUCAGGAGGAACACCGGUGGCGAAGGCGGUUCUCUGGGCAUUACCUGACGCUGAGGAGCGAAAGUGUGGGGAGCGAACAGG
rnacentral:rRNA from 1 species